ACUGACAGACCCACGUCUGAUUACUGCAAAUUACCCAGGGCCACCUAUAACCCCAGUCCUUUUCUCCAACUAAGACUAAAAGGCCUGAGGGACCCCAAGAUUGAACCAUGAAAUGUCAUUAACUGAAUGUCAGUCCUCACAGCUCCCAGAACUAAUUAUAGAGCUAGGAGUGGCUGGGGCCAGACCCCUCUGAUAUAAAAAGAUUUUAUGAAAGGCAAAGGGGGAGGCAACAAUAAUUCUCACCCUAUUAUAUUCCUUUCAAUUAUUUACAGUAAUAGGCACUGGUGGUGAACAAAUAUAGAGACUGGAAUCCAGUGAGGUCACACGGGUGUUCUGGAAGCCAGUGAUGCCGUACUGGAAUCUGGGGACACCAUGAGGCAAUGUUUCAGCUGCCCCUGCAUUCCUCACCUCCCAUUGUUUCUGUCUCUCUCUCUCCAUCUCCCUUCCCCCCACCACCAAGAGCACAGACCCCACAGUGAGAAUUCUAAGCUUCAUUCCACAUCCAGGACCAGCAAAGAUCCACCAUCAGGGUUUUAACAAAACAUUCACAUUUAUUCUCCUGAGCACAACAGGAAAUGAAUGCUGGGUGAAUGCAAAGCCAGCAUGGUGAAUGUGCCCUGCAGAUCACCUGGGUGUCACCUGACCAUGACAAAGCCCUUGAACAAAAGCUCAGUAGCACCAAGAUCUGUGUGCUCCUCCAUGUUUCCCAGCCUUGCUGGUUGACACCUACCUCAGCUGACUGGCUUCUGGCUAAUGAAAUAUGAACAGAGAUACAAGCCACCUGAGGCCUGCCCUUCGAAACAUCCUCCAGCUGUUUUUUCCAUGGCGUCCUUAGAUGCCUCAUAUGCCACAUUUAUCAGAUCACCUGAUACCUCCAAGCAACCAGGUGUUUCUUUCAGAAGCCAGAAGCUGAUAACCUGGACCCACUAAUCUAACCCCCCAGUCCAUGUUCUUUGUAGUGGAAGACUGACAGCGGAGAUUCUUUCUCCUGGGAGUGCUCCUGCAUGACUGCAUCUACUUAACCCACUCUCCAAGAUCUAGAAUCAGAUUUCAACCAUAUGGAAUCAUCCACGGUGCAGCAGAUGGGUUUACAAGUCUCUUGGUCUCUUCGUGUAACUAACAGCCAAGAAGUCUGAAGCUUGCAUUGUUUACAUGGAAGAUGUUUCUUGCUCUUCUCUUGCCCAUUCCCACGCCAUACCAUCUGAACUUGCCACCUUUUUUUUUUGUUUGUUCAGUGCAGUUCUUUAACUUUGUGGGGUCCUCUUCACAUGGACUCCAUUCCACUAUAAGUGGCUACUUCCCUGUGAGUUUAGAUGUAUGAUUUAGAGAUUUUUCAUAGUUGAUGCCUGAAUUAUGUUUCACAACCACCCUAGGAAGUAAGGAAGGCCUGUAUUGUUCCCCUCUUACCAGUAAAGAACCUGAGAUGCAGAGAGACUUACUACUGAGUGACACUGCAGGAGUUCAGAUGGCUCAUCUGACUCCAAGCCCAGUGCUUUUUUUUUUUUUUGAUGGCACACUCUCUUUUCUCCAAGGAAGCAAACUGCCUAGAGCUAGAGGGAACUUCAAGAGAGAUUUCCAUCUUACAGUGAGAAAGCAAAGACUCAGAGAAGGCACUGAGGGGACUUCCCCAAGGCCAUUCUUGUCUUUGCCAUUAUUCCAUCUUCGACCCUCAGAAACCUCCAUGUGAGCUACCUCUAUGUACCUGGCCUGCAUUUUGCUAGGGAGUUGGGAGACACAAAAGAAAUUUGAGAAAUUUUCUGACAAUUAAGGAAUUUACUAACAAGCCAUGGAGAUAAAAUUAAUGUAUUAAAAUCCUUAAAACAAAUAAGGGGACAUGGGAGGCACUCUCUCCAAGACUGAAAUUUUUUAACCCUGAAUUCAAGUCUGUUCUCAUUGUUCAAGGUUUGGAAGUAUGAUCCACAUGAUAGAUUUAAGUUCAAGCCCUUCCUGACCGAUCAUGUUCUGAAUUCCCACAGUGACCACCUGUGUCACUUUUCUAGCUCAUGUGGGCAAGAUGGUCUUCCUCCUGUUUUAGUGGGAACAGGAAGGACUCAGUGAGGAGGAAGCCAGGAAAAGAUUGUAGUCUUUAGUAGCAUUUUUUCAUGGGUGCUGCAGCCUUCUCAAAGAAAAUAACUUAUUGGGUUAGCUUUCUGUUUUUCCUUAAUCAAGUAAACCUACUUCCUACUUAGCACAAUACUUCUAAAGGGGAAUUAGGCAUUUUACCUAAUGGCUGCUGAAGGAACCUGUGCUUUGCUCUCCCACUUGCCCUGGGAAAGGGCAUUUAUCAUGUUCUAAGGCCUUCAAGACUUCCAGGUUGUCCUGGAGCCCAGAAGAUAUGGCUGCCUAAGGCCAGGUCAUCAUGGCAUCCCAGUAAUGAUACUUUUCUCACACUCCUUGAUUGUCAGAUGGCAUCUCAUAAGACUGUCUACUUAGAGUUUCUUGGGCUGACAGAGGUGGCCCUUGGAUAGGUGAUGGCCACAUGCUGGCCUGGCCCCAACCUUCUGUUGUAGUACUCUGUCUGCUAAGGCAGAGAGCUGAGCUGGUGCAAUUUUAUGCUCUCUAAACACAUUUACCAGAGCCACCUGGUCCUCAAGAGAGGUAAGAUGGAUUCAAAGUGAAGGAAGGCUCUAGGUCCAUAAUCCAAUUUGGAACCCAAAACAAAGGAAGAGAAAAGAUGGUGAGGAUUCUGUAGCUUCAUGGUGUUGAGGCUUUGAGAACCCCCAAAUAAUGGUGUUGAGGCUUUGAGAACCCCCAAAUAAUGACACACACUAUGGGAGUACUGCACCAGUCAAGUUCCAGAGGCUGUGCCAUGUGGCAUUUGAAGUGAAUAAAAGCUGGUCAUGCACUCUUUCUCUUCCACCUACCUACUAUAUGAUCUUGGAUUGGUUAUUUUUUUAAGUGGUUUUCUUUGUUUUUGAGAGAGACAGACAGAUAUACAGAC